AAUAGAUACCCGGUAGUCCACGCCGUAAACGUUGGGCGCUAGAUGUGGGGACCUUUCCACGGUUUCCGUGUCGUAGCUAACGCAUUAAGCGCCCCGCCUGGGGAGUACGGCCGCAAGGCUAAAACUCAAAAGGAAUUGACGGGGGCCCGCACAAGCGGCGGAGCAUGCGGAUUAAUUCGAUGCAACGCGAAGAACCUUACCAAGGCUUGACAUACACGAGAACGGGCCAGAAAUGGUCAACUCUUUGGACACUCGUGAACAGGUGGUGCAUGGUUGUCGUCAGCUCGUGUCGUGAGAUGUUGGGUUAAGUCCCGCAACGAGCGCAACCCUCGUCGCAUGUUGCCAGCACGUUAUGGUGGGGACUCAUGUGAGACUGCCGGGGUCAACUCGGAGGAAGGUGGGGAUGACGUCAAAUCAUCAUGCCCCUUAUGUCUUGGGCUUCACGCAUGCUACAAUGGCCGGUACAAAGGGCUGCGAUGUCGUAAGGCGGAGCGAAUCCCAAAAAGCCGGUCUCAGUUCGGAUUGAGGUCUGCAACUCG
rnacentral:rRNA from 1 species